UUUUUUUAUAAUAAUGGGGAAUUUUCAAAAGCUGCUCAACUUUUCACUAUCAUUUUCUUUCAUUUUGGUGAAAAGCAGACUGGCUACUUGACAUCCAAGUUUCUUUCCCCAUAUUCAUUUCCCGACUUUGAGUUCAGUAGCUCUGUGAAACCCCACUUCGGAGAAGACUUUUCUCGCCUUACCCUUACCUUCUUUUUCUUCUUCACUCCCCAUUGCCCAGCACCGCAACGCCUCCAACAUCAAGUGCCAGGAGUUCUCGCUUCAUGGAGAGUUUUAGGAAACUACAAGAUAGAACAAAGCAUAUACAUCCUUUGCCAGCUGUCUUUGGAAACCGGCUCUGUUUGCUCAUGCGCAGAAAAAAGCCAAGCCCCGCGCUGAUAUUGACAAGAACAAGAUGAAUGACCCCCUGGAGACCAUAGGACAACCAGCAGUCAGUUCGGAUGAAAAGAAAAAACAAUUUCUUUUUAAUAUUUGAGGAGUUUACUUAUUCAAUACCUGGUUUGUUUAUACUGGUAAGUCGUCAUCUGCAUAGAUGGGUCUUAAAUCUGAAGUCUCAUCAUCUGAGGAAGAUUUGCCAUUGAGGAACGUGUUAAAUUGUGAUCACACGACUGUGAUCAGUGUUUGAGCGUACGGUGGUACAGCUAACAUCAAGUCAUAAGUGCUCCAAGUGGCCGGUGGCUAUCAGAGUGCCCUGGGCUUCUGUGUUUCCGUCCCUGACCCAUACAAUGACAGCAGUUCACCUUUGACCAUUUUAUAUGUCAGAUCUCCUGAACCAACAACAAAAAUCCAACUUCAAAACCGGUGAUCCAGCCUUGCCUCUGACGCCUGUCACCCCUGUACAGGACUGCACAAAGACGUGAAAACCAGAGCAGACCACGUUUGGAGCCCACCAACCUUGGCUACUUGCCUUCAAGGGAUGUUUAUGCCUUUUAGAGACUUGCUAUAAUUCAGCUUUGUUGGAGUCUUCUUUCCACCAUGUUAGUGCCCACCAUCAGUUUUUCCAGUGAACAAUUCAGUGCCCAUUCUUGGAUUUUCUUGGUUGUUUAAACCCGUUGAUAUAAAAGAGAAAAUGAGGAACAAGGCUUAUGUAAUCCUCAAUUUUAAGCGUGAUUCAUCUAUAAAAUCAUUCAGUCUUCCUAAACUAUGUGAAUGGAAUUUGUUUGCAUAAAUCUUAUUCCACCAAAGGCUUCUAAACUGUGAACUAAUUACAUGAUCUAAUUUUGGAGCUUUUCCAAAGUUAAUCUCUAAAUUAG
rnacentral:lncRNA from 1 species